rnacentral:RNase_MRP_RNA from 1 species
AGCGCGUGCUGAAGGCCUGUUUCCUAGGCUACAGACGGAGGACUUGUUCCUUAUUUGCGCCUAGGGGAAAGUCCCCGGACCCUUGGCAGAGAGUGCCGCGUGCGCGUGCACGCUGACUUUCCCUGCUUUGCACUGUAACGUCCGCCAAGAAGCGAUCCGUUUGCCGCGGGGAGCCGAGCGGCGUGUGGCGGGGCGUCGUCCGUCAACUCUAUCUAGUUACGCAGGCAGCGCGCCUGGUGCGCGCCAACCACACGGGGCUCAUUCUCAGCGCGGCUGAUUU